GGCCACCAUUGGAGAACAGGCACAUCUAAAAUGUUUUCUGAGAGUCUAUUAGGACCAGCCUUAAAAACAUGUAUUUGAAAGUGAAACUCAAGAGGCUCCUGGGCCAGAACUCACUCUAAGGAGAGAAGAGACCAGACAUAAAGACUUGAUCAUUGGAAGAUGAGUUCCUGGAUAAUGUUAUUAGCUUUCAAGCAUGUGAUGCAUCCCAAGAGAGCUGUUGACUUCCAGUCUGACCAAAUUCUUUCACGUCGUGGCGUGUACGAUGUAUAAACGUUUUGGAAUGCCUCUGAGAUGACUUCUGCAGCCAGAAUCUCAUCCACUCUUCUGCGUCCAUUCACAUGUCCUGGGAAGGCUUCCCUGAUCACCUCAUAGGUAAACAGCUCCCCUUCACUGGGUUUAGAUUUUGCAAUUCAUCACUGUGUUCUAAGUGUUUGUGAAUACAUCUCUUAGGAGCAG
rnacentral:lncRNA from 1 species